GACGAACCGUGCAAACGUUGUUCGGAAUCACUGGGCUUAAAGGGCGCGUAGGCGGACCACCAAGUCAGGGGUGAAAUCCUGCGGCUCAACCGUAGAAGUGCCUUUGAUACUGGUGGUCUCGAGGGAGGUAGGGGCGUGCGGAACUUCCGGUGGAGCGGUGAAAUGCGUAGAUAUCGGAAGGAACACCGGUGGCGAAAGCGGCGCGCUGGACCUCUACUGACGCUGAGGCGCGAAAGCCAGGGGAGCGAACGGG
rnacentral:rRNA from 1 species